GAUGAACGCUGGCGGCGUGCCUAAUACAUGCAAGUCGAGCGAACGGACGAGAAGCUUGCUUUUCUGAUGUUAGCGGCGGACGGGUGAGUAACACGUGGAUAACCUACCUAUAAGACUGGGAUAACUUCGGGAAACCGGAGCUAAUACCGGAUAAUAUUUUGAACCGCAUGGUUCAAAAGUGAAAGACGGUCUUGCUGUCACUUAUAGAUGGAUCCGCGCUGCAUUAGCUAGUUGGUAAGGUAACGGCUUACCAAGGCAACGAUGCAUAGCCGACCUGAGAGGGUGAUCGGCCACACUGGAACUGAGACACGGUCCAGACUCCUACGGGAGGCAGCAGUAGGGAAUCUUCCGCAACGGGCGAAAGCCUGACGGAGCAACGCCGCGUGAGUGAUGAAGGUCUUCGGAUCGUAAAACUCUGUUAUUAGGGAAGAACAUAUGUGUAAGUAACUGUGCACAUCUUGACGGUACCUAAUCAGAAAGCCACGGCUAACUACGUGCCAGCAGCCGCGGUAAUACGUAGGUGGCAAGCGUUAUCCGGAAUUAUUGGGCGUAAAGCGCGCGUAGGCGGUUUUUUAAGUCUGAUGCGAAAGCCCACGGCUCAACCGUGGAGGGUCAUUGGAAACUGGAAAACUUGAGUGCAGAAGAGGAAAGUGGAAUUCCAUGUGUAGCGGUGAAAUGCGCAGAGAUAUGGAGGAACACCAGUGGCGAAGGCGACUUUCUGGUCUGUAACUGACGCUGAUGUGCGAAAGCGUGGGGAUCAAACAGGAUUAGAUACCCUGGUAGUCCACGCCGUAAACGAUGAGUGCUAAGUGUUAGGGGGUUUCCGCCCCUUAGUGCUGCAGCUAACGCAUUAAGCACUCCGCCUGGGGAGUACGACCGCAAGGUUGAAACUCAAAGGAAUUGACGGGGACCCGCACAAGCGGUGGAGCAUGUGGUUUAAUUCGAAGCAACGCGAAGAACCUUACCAAAUCUUGACAUCCUUUGACAACUCUAGAGAUAGAGCCUUCCCCUUCGGGGGACAAAGUGACAGGUGGUGCAUGGUUGUCGUCAGCUCGUGUCGUGAGAUGUUGGGUUAAGUCCCGCAACGAGCGCAACCCUUAAGCUUAGUUGCCAUCAUUAAGUUGGGCACUCUAAGUUGACUGCCGGUGACAAACCGGAGGAAGGUGGGGAUGACGUCAAAUCAUCAUGCCCCUUAUGAUUUGGGCUACACACGUGCUACAAUGGACAAUACAAAGGGCAGCGAAACCGCGAGGUCAAGCAAAUCCCAUAAAGUUGUUCUCAGUUCGGAUUGUAGUCUGCAACUCGACUACAUGAAGCUGGAAUCGCUAGUAAUCGUAGAUCAGCAUGCUACGGUGAAUACGUUCCCGGGUCU
rnacentral:rRNA from 1 species